UACGUAGGGGGCAAGCGUUAUCCGGAUUUACUGGGUGUAAAGGGAGCGCAGACGGCGAUGCAAGCCAGGAGUGAAAGCCCGGGGCCCAACCCCGGGACUGCUCUUGGAACUGCGUGGCUGGAGUGCAGGAGGGGCAGGCGGAAUUCCUGGUGUAGCGGUGAAAUGCGUAGAUAUCAGGAGGAACACCGGUGGCGAAGGCGGCCUGCUGGACUGCAACUGACGUUGAGGCCCGAAAGCGUGGGGAGCAAACAGG
rnacentral:rRNA from 1 species